UACGGAGGGGGUUAGCGUUGUUCGGAAUUACUGGGCGUAAAGCGCACGUAGGCGGAUCAGAAAGUUGGGGGUGAAAUCCCGGGCUCAACCCCGGAACUGCCUCCAAACUCCUGGUCUUGAGUUCGAGAGAGGUGAGUGGAAUUCCGAGUGUAGAGGUGAAAUUCGUAGAUAUUCGGAGGAACACCAGUGGCGAAGGCGGCUACACUGGCUCGAUACCUGAGCUGAGGUGCGAAAGUGUGGGGAGCAAACAGGAUUAGAUACCCGUGUAGUCC
rnacentral:rRNA from 1 species